UACGUAGGGGGCGAGCGUUGUCCGGAUUUAUUGGGCGUAAAGAGCUCGUAGGCGGCUCGGUAAGUCGGGUGUGAAAACUCUAGGCUCAACCUAGAGACGCCACCCGAUACUGCUGUGGCUAGAGUCCGGUAGGGGAGCAUGGAAUUCCUGGUGUAGCGGUGAAAUGCGCAGAUAUCAGGAGGAACACCAGUGGCGAAGGCGGUGCUCUGGGCCGGUACUGACGCUGAGGAGCGAAAGCGUGGGGAGCAAACAGG
rnacentral:rRNA from 1 species